UUGGUUGGAGAUGACUGCACCAGGGUAUACAGACAAGCUUUACCUGCAGUUUUACUAACAUAUGCAGAAAGACUGAAGCAUCUUCUGACUGUCAUUGUUGCCAUCAGCAAGGAGAAAAAAUAGGUAACUGGCAUUUCUUAAGCCAGAUGUAUCUAGACCAUCACAGUAAGAGCAUCCUGUGCAAACAAAAGCAGAUUUUCCUGUUUGUCUUAAACCAGUUGACAAUAUAAAACAAACCAAUUCCAAACAGGACUGUCAGAGGCAAACGAUAAUCUUCCACUUCUUUUAGUGCCUGCUAAAGGAUUUAUACUUCUAUGAUACUCCUGAGUUCAGUCUGCAAAAUGGCCACUGCUUGGAAGGACACCUGGCCUUUCGCCAGUGCCAGCUAUUCAUGUUAAAUCACUACAGCAUCAAAGGGAGCUUAACAAAGAAGACACAGCUGAUACCACUGGCAGUAGUGGAAGUCCUGUAACCACUCAUGCAUCACACCUUAUGUUGCACUCCAGCCUUGGGAAAACUUCAGAAAAAUUUAAGAAGGCUUUUUCUAUUAAGAGAAAUGUUAAUGAACAUCAGUGUUGUACCUUUUGUAAUUUUAAAUUAGAGGAUGCUAAACAGCAACAAAA